rnacentral:tRNA from 1 species
GCCGACGUAGCUCAACUGGUAGAGCAACUGACUUGUAAUCAGUAGGUUGUAGGUUCAAGUCCUAUCGUCGGCUCCA